CUUGACGUUAGCGGCGGACGGGUGAGUAACACGUGGGUAACCUACCUAUAAGACUGGGAUAACUUCGGGAAACCGGAGCUAAUACCGGAUAAUAUUUCAACCGCAUGGUUCGAUAGUGAAAGGUGGUUUUGCUAUCACUUAUAGAUGGACCCGCGCCGUAUUAGCUAGUUGGUAAGGUAACGGCUUACCAAGGCGACGAUACGUAGCCGACCUGAGAGGGUGAUCGGCCACACUGGAACUGAGACACGGUCCAGACUCCUACGGGAGGCAGCAGUC
rnacentral:rRNA from 1 species